rnacentral:lncRNA from 1 species
CCGUUUUCAUUUUUUUUAAAGUCGAUUCCCAUUUUCCUAAAACUCGAUUUAAAAAUGGUUUCGGCAAUGAACAUACCAACUAGCACAUAGCUAUAAACAUUACAAUAAGUAUAUCAACCCUAUUACAUGCCAUAUAAGCCUAUAUGUUCACAAAAUCUACCAAAGAAUUCUCGAGAUAGUGUGAAUCUUCGAGUUGAUCUGAUCGCCCGAUUAUCCAUAAAAUGCUAUCUACAAGAGAACACAAUAAAACACGAGUAAGAUUGUAUAAAGAUUAGUAAGCUCAUCAAUUAAAUGAUAAAUCUUACAAAAAAUAACACAAUAAUUCAGGUAAUUAGUUAAAUGAAUAAACUCCCUGUUACGACCUAAUAUCAGAACUCCUGUCAAACACAGUUCACAACAAGUAAGAAAUGUUCAAAUGUUAAUACGAUAAAUAAUCAAUGCCCGAUGAAUGUUUUAUGGAUACGAGUACAUGGUUAAUCAUCCGAAACACGCCAAACACUCAUAUGAGCUAAUCUAACCAAUAACACUCCUCAGCAUUAAGUGCCUAGCUCGAAGGUUAACAACUACCCCCAUAAAUAUGCCAGCAAACACUGAAGUAUAACUCGAUAGUCCGUAAAAAAUACCAGACUUUGAUAUAAUAAGGUAAAUAGGAAAUAAGCAGUGUACGCCCUAAAAAUUUAAAUGUUUGAUUAAGAAAUGCUAGCAUAAUUAAAUCUUUGUUUCUGUGGUUAUGUGCUCUGCUUAUGUGUUUGAUGUCAGAAGUUCAAGUCGCGUCUGUAGAAAUUUUUUCUAUUUUACUCUAUACUAACCUCUAUCCUUGAAUGGUUGACUUAAAUUUAAUUCUUUGUAAAUUUGCGUUAAGAAUGAGCCUGCUGGUUCACUGGUUAAGUAUUCUCCCCCUUAUUGAUCCUAUGUUCGAGUUUCAACGUAUGCGUUAAGAAAGAUGUUUUAUUAAUGUCAAAAUUUUGAGUGGUGGUUUUAAACAUUAAAUUAACGUUCUCUAUUUCUACAAUGUCCUUUCUUUUUCUUUUUGUUUUUCUUCUUGUUCCCUCUUUUCUUUUUCUUUUUUGUGUUCGGUUUGUCUCUCCUUUUUAGUUGACGUUAAAUCCUCUACAAUAUAUUUGUGUAAGUGCAUUCUUUGUGUUGUAGAUUAAAAGUUAAUUGUCUAAGUUUUGCUGUAAAUUUCUUCAAAACAUCGGGGUCAUUCUGUCGAAAUGACUCUAUCUUUGUUGGGUUGAAUUCUUGUGAUUAAACAGCUUUUGGCUUCUUUAUAUUAGGUGUAGGUGUUGGAAGUAACGUUUCUUGACAGGUUAGUUUGAGUGGUUGCCGCUAAUUUGCUGGUAAGCAUUAGUUUCGUUAGAGGUUUUAUGUCGAAGUUUUUGAAUAGUUUAGUAAGUAUUAAUUUGUGCGAAUUACGUUGUUUUAGUCAUUUAUUUGGUUUUUGGUUGGCUAAUUUAGGCUCUGGGGUUUCUCUGUGUCGUUUCUAUUCAAAACUACUUUAGGUGUACCAAAAAUUUAUGUUUGUAUGAAUUUUGGACGUCAAAAACAUAGCUGUCGACGUCACAUGGCCAUUUGAUAGGCCGUGUAACUCGCUGUUCACCAAGUUAGAGCUUUAUGAGUGUGUGUCCUGACCGUGUAUGGCAAAGUUAAUGCAAGAUUCAUACGAGCUAAGGAGACGGGUGUUUGUCCAGGCCUUGUAACUCACUGUCUACAAAAAUUAGGAUCACACGAGUAGACGACACGAUCGUGUGAGACACACGAGAAUGCACACAUGCAUGUGCCAGGCCAAAUGGGCUGGCUAUACAGGCCGUGUGAAACCACGUAGGCCUGUGGAUCAAUAUACGAAAUUUUUACGCUUGGAUCACGAGUGUCGCUUGAAACAAAUACAAGCUUUCUGUGAGGCCGUAUGAUUGAAUUAAACAGUAUAAACUGAUAUUCUAUGACUUGAGACUAUAUAAUAAAAAUUUGUGUGGGUAAUGGUAUCGAUCUAUUCUAUUUGAGUAUGAAUUGUAUCUGAAUGUUCGUAAAGGACUCUAUAUUAACUGUCAUUUGAAAUCUGCAUUUGCAUUGGGUGAGAAUUGAGUAAGGGGGAAGUAUUCUAUUCUGAAAUAGUGGUUAAACCACUAGUAUCUGUACUCUGAUCUAGCAGCUAGAUUGGAAUCACUGAAACAUGUCAAAUCGACACUAUAUGGUGUGUAGGUUAGAUGGGUAGUAAUUACCCAUUUGGUGUGUUGGGUUGGUCGAAAAUGGUGUAUAGUGGUUGGGAUUAAGAAAAUUGUAUAUAUUAUGUUUUGUUCUGUAUCUGACUAUACUGAUUUGUUAUCUGUUUGUACGAUUCUGAUUUGUAAUUGAAUGAAUUGUCUCUUGAGUCUGAUUCAACAUUUUCAUUUGGAUAUCUACUUAUUUAACCAUAACUCUAUUGAAUAUGUAUAUAGUUGGUUUAUUUAUGAGAAAUUAAUGCAUUGUUUUGUUCAAUGAAUUACAAGCAAAUCACAAACUUGAACGGGUCAGUAGAUAGAGAGCUUGAUUUUGCUGUUUUAAACUGUUUAGUACAACUAGUAUUGUUAAUUUACUUUUAGUAUUUUCAACUUAGUUGGAUGAUAAACCUCAAACUGCUUGCUUUGUUAUUUCUUUAAAUCUUAUAUGACUCCAAAUGGUUUUAAAGCUAAGUUAUGAAGUUAUGUUUUUCAAUAUCGUUCGUUGUAACUCUCCAGGCUUGGCCUUAUCGUCUAGGUCGAAUAUGGGGUGUUAUAAGAAGGAAUCAUUGUCUCAUCUCAAGUUAAACCCAUACAGCGCACACUAUAACCUAUUGGCAUGUCAAUAAUACUCUACGUUCAUAGUUUCAGGAGAUUUUCAUGGUAAUCAAUUCUAUAAUGUUUUGUUAUUCAAAUCUCAAGUGCAACCAUACAAUAAUAUCCAAGUCACAACAAAUUAAUUCAUCCCAAAAUAAACCUAAAAAUAUUAAAAUUAAACCGAGCGAACUUAUCGACUAAUGCAGUGACAACCAUAAUAUAGGGACUACUCCGCUAUAUUCUCUUUUCCGUGGUUCACAACGCGUUCUUGAUCUAGAACAACAAUUUCAUUCAAUUUACUAUAUCAAUAACAAAAUUAAAUCAUUUUAUGCAAUUAAGUCCCUUUUUGGCAUCUUAUAAAAUUACCCUCAACUUUUCACUUUUAUUCAAUUUAAUCCCUAAGUUCAAAACAUGCAAAUUUAACCAUUUUUUAUUCACAUUCAAGCUUGGUCGAAUAUACAAGGGCCUCUCUACAGCUCCUAUUUGCUAUUAAUUCACAUUAAGUACAAGUUAUUCUACCACUUUAACAAAUUAGUCCUUAGACGUUAAAAUGAUCAAAAACCACUUUACAAAACAAUCCAAUCUAACAACAAAACUUAAUAAUCUUCCAUAAACAUUCAAGAAACAACUCAAAUCAAUAAUGAAAAAAGAUAUAACAUUUGAUAGUUUUACGAAUUGAUCCCAGUGUUAGCUAGAUUAAGUUAAUACGAGCUCAAAAACGUAAAAAUCACUAAAAAACAGACGAAGUUUCACCUACCUAUUGAGGACUUAAAGUUAACCGAAUGGUGUUCUCUACUUACUCUAGGGUUUUGACUAACGUAAAGAAAAUAUAAUGAAGAAGAUGAUAAAAUUUCAUUUUAUUUUUGUGUAAUUUAACUUAGUAAAAUAAUUACAAUUUUACCCUUUUUAAUUUCACCUGAUAUUUGAGUAAAAUGGUAGCCAAAAUCAUCCACUCACCCUUCCAAUGGUGUAAUUACCAGUUAAGUACCUUACUAUCCUUUUUAAUUAACAUUUAGUACCUUUAAUUAACGGACUCAACUUUUGCAGCUUUUACGAUUUAGUCAUUUUCUUUAAUUAACUAUCAAAAUGAUAAAAUUUCUUAAUCAAAAUUUAAUACGACACUAAUGCCAUCAGAAAUAUUAAAUAAUUAAUAUUCACAGACUGAAAUGUCAGAGUUGUGGUACCGAAGCUAUUGUUUCUGAUACUAUUGAAAAAAGGGCAGUUACAACUCUCUCCUCUUUGGAAAUUUAAUCCCUGAAAUUUCUUACUAGAAAAUAGGUUCUGAUAUUGUGAUCUUAUCAGGUCUUUAGUUCCUCAUGUAGCUUCCUCAACCCCAUGAUGAUUCCAUAAGACUUUAAUUAAUGUCACUUUUUUAUUUCGAAGUUCCUUUACUUUACUUUCUAAAAUCCUAAUUGGUUCUUCAGAAUACGAUAGAUCUGACUUUAUCUCAACCUCAUAGGGAGUAAUGACAUGUAAAGGGUUUGACCUGUACCGUCUCAACAUUGAAAUAUGAAAAAAAUUGUGAAUCUUUUCAAGUACUGAAGGUAGAGCUAACCUAUAAGCUACAAGACCAAUUCUUUUUGUGAUAUCAUAUGGCCCAAAAAAAUCUCAGACUCAACUUUCCUUUUUUGCCAAAAUGAAACACUUUUUUCCAUGGUGAAACUUUCAGGAACACUCGAUCACUAAUAGUGAAUUCCAUAUAUUUUCUUUUCAAUCUGCAUAUGAUUUUUGAAGAUAUGACAUUGCUUUUAAACAAUCAUGGAUUAUCCAAACCUUAUUUUUCAUCUCACGCAUCAAAUCAAUAACAAUUAGCUUAGAUUCACUUGAUUCUGACCAAUACAACGGUGUUCUACAUUUUCUUCCAUAGAGGGCUUUAAAUGGUGCCGUCUUAAUAUUAGAUUAAUAGUUGUUAUUAUACCCAAAUUCUACCAACGGUAAAUAUCUCUCCCAGCUACCCUCAAACUUAAGAAUGCAACACCGUAACAUAUCUUCCAGAAUCUGUAUCACAUAUUCUAAUUGUCCAACGGUAAAUAACGAAUGGUAUGCUUACUGAAAUAAAGUUUAGUGCCCAAAGCUCCAUGAAGCUUACCCUAAAAUCUCGAGGUAAAUCUCGGGUCUCUAUCAGAGAUAAUAUAUAAUAGAACUCCGUGCAAUCUAACAAUCUCUGAUACAUAUAAUUCUGCUAACUUCUCAAGUGAAUAAUCAAUUUUGAUUGGGAUAAAAUGAGUUAACUUCAUUAGUCUGUGAACAAUAAUCCAAAUUGAGUCUUUCUUCCUCAAUGUCACUAGUAAUACCAAUACAAAAUCCAUCGUAAUACGCUCCCAUUUCCACUCAGAAAUAGUAACAAGCUGUAAUAAUCCUGAUGGUACCUAAAGUUUAGCUUUUACCUGCUGACAAACUAGAUAUUUAAUCACAAACUUAGAAAUCUCACGUUUCGUACUUGGCCACUAGUACAUUUUCUUUAGGUCAUUAAACAUUUUAGGACUACACGGAUGAAUGGAGUAUAUACUACUGUGGGCCUCUGAUUAUAUGUCUUACCUUAAUUAUGGAUUAUUCGGGACACACAACCUAUUAUGAAAAUACAUCAUACCAUUAUCACCUACAAUAAAUCCUGUAGUCAAGUCACUCUAAAUCUGUUCCUGUUUGGCUAACAACUUUGGAUCAUCAUCUUGUAAUUCUCCAAUCUGCUGGAGGAAUAACGAACUAGUCCUUAGCUAAACUAUAAUAAAACCCAACAUAUUCCAAAGCUAAAUGUGUAUUCAUUGCUCUCAAAUCAAAUAAUAAUUUCUAACUUAAAGCAUCUACAACCACAUUAGCCUUCCUGGGGUGAUAAUAGAUUACAAGAUCAUAAUCAUUCAGUAACUCUAAACCCCGUUGUAGUUUCAGAUUCAAUUCCUUUUGAGUCAUCAAAUGUUUCAAAAUUUAGUGAUCUGUUAAUAUGUGACAUUUUUCACCGUAAAGGUAGUAAUGCCAAAUCUUCAGAGCAAAAACAAUAGCAACUAACUCCAAGUCAUGUAUAGGUUAAUUCUUUUCAUGAGGCUUUAACUGGCGAGAAGCAUAGGUUAUUACUUUCCCAGCUUGCAUCAAUACACAUCCCAAUCUACUAAGUGACGCAUCACUGUAAACAAUAAAUUCCUUCCUAGAUUUAGGCUAUGUCAAUACUGGAGCUUCUGUUAACAUUUUUUUAACCGAUCAAAACUCUAUUGGCACUCAUCUGACCAAACAUACUGGACAUUCUUCUGUUGUAACUGGGUCAUUAAUGAAGCUGUUAUAGAUUUUUUUAACAAAACGACGAUAGUAACCUACCAGUUUCAGAAAACUCUGUACCUCUAAAAUAUUCUUCUGACCUUUACAGUUAAUAAUAAAAGAAAUUUUACUCAGAUUGAUACAUAUCCCAUCUGUUGAAACCACGUGUCCAAGAAAUCCAACUUCUUGAAGCCAUAAUUCACACUUGUUGAAUUUUGCAUACAACUGUUUUUUACGCAAAAUCUAUAUUACAGUUCUCAAAUGCCGAGCAUGUUCAUAUUUUGUCUUGGAGUAGAUCAAUAUAUCAUCUAUAAAUAUUAUAAACCAUAAGCUAUACAUAUUCUUACCCCAUGCUUGGCAUACUUAUGGAUGAAUUUUCCUUGGUUUUAUUGAAUUCGAUGCUCGUAAUCCUUUAAUUUCAUGUUUUAUACUCAAGAGAGCAUAGUAAAGAUAAAAGAGCAAGAAACAAACCAAAAAGGGACAAAAUAGGCUAAUUUUAGCGUUCUAUAUGGACUAGGCACUUCCACACCCCCGUGCGUGUCGGCAUUAAAUAAAGUCAGAAUUGUAAACGGCCUGAGAACUUUCACACGGGCGUAACAGACGGCCUUGUCCUUGUCAAACCCAAGUUUAAUUCUAUUAAGAAAAGGCUAAUUUUGGGCUAUUCUGGGCAUUCCAAAGUCUAUAAAAACACCUUAGAAGAGGACCAAAAAGGACACGCAUAAUAGAGGGUAGAAAAUACUCAAGGAUAGCCAUCGGGAUCAGCUCAGAAGUAGGAUCUACUUCAAGACUGAAGAUCUUCAUUAUCUUUUCUUAGAAGUUCUUUGGUUUCUUUAUGUUUUGUUGUUUUCCCAAUUUUGAUAUGUUUUCAAUUAUUAUGAACUAAACUCCCUAAACACCUAAGGGAGAUAAAAUCUAAGACGGAUCUUAUUACUAUUUGAAUUAUAUGAUAAAUACUUGUUCUUAUUCUUAAUUGUGAGUUUUAAUCCUUGUUUUAAUAUUCCAGGAUAUAUAAUUCAGGUUUUGAUGUGCUUAUUCAGUGGAGUAAAAGUCCCUGUUUAAAAGUAGAUCUUCCAUAAUUAAGGGGACUUGCAUGCAAUCUUACAGAUAGGACGACAUAAAUCUGCCGGCUUAGAGUCAAAUCUAUUAAGGGAAUCCAUAGAUCGAAUUAAUACGAUAGUAGGGGUUUUAAUUAGUAAGAGAUUUCAAUUAAUCAACCUAGAGUCAGUUGUUUUUAGUCUCGAAAGAGAUAAUGACAUAAAUUAGAGAUUUCUACGGAUUAAGUCAAGUGAAUAAAUCAUCUAAUUCAGAAGUAAAAAGUGAAGUCUAGGUGAAUUCGUCCUUGGGUAUUGUCUUCUCUAUCAAUUUUUCAAACAGUAUUUUCUAAUUUUUUAUCUCUGUCGUAAUCUUAGUCAAUUAGAUAAUUAGUCUUAGUUUAAAACAUCCCUUAAUUCUUAAGUUAGAUAAUAAAAAGAUAGUUGUACAGCCCAAAUUUUGCCCGGGCUAAAAAGCCCAACAUCUAAAAACCCAACAGCCCAAAACCCUUUAACACUAGCCCAUAGCAAUUAAAAAAAAAGAAAAAAGAAGAAGACUAAAAAAAAAAAAACCUAGCCAUCAUCCCUAUGCUUGACUCGGCCAACUUGCCCUGUCUCAUUGCCCAUACCUCCACUUACUCCAUCCCCAUAUGUCCCGCUCCAUGUUUUGGCCCAUGUUUCAUGCCCCUCGUUCUCCACAACUUCAACACCUGCAAUUGGAGCAAAGAGAUAGGUAGAAAAUGUAUGGUUUUUGGCUAUAAAACCUUCAAUUUUUCAUUGUAAAAGGGGGAGAAGAGAUUGUACUAAAGAGGUUUUUUUUUAGAAAAAGAACAAUGAUACUACAUGCAAUAGAGAGCUUUCUUUUUCGAAUAUAAUAGAGAAUAUACAAAGUCAAGAGUAAAUCGAGAAUUGGGACUGAGGUACUAAAGUUUAUAUACAAAUCUCAUGCAAGAAUCAGUAAAAAUACCCACCAAGGAAUAGUUUCAAAGGUGAUUUUAUUUUGUUUUUCUUCAAUUUUUUUUCAAAUCGGAUCCACAAUAUAAGUUAAAAAAUAGGAGACAAGAAGGGAGACUUACCGCGCCUCAUGUUUGCGCCGUCGAGAGGGCCUUGCUUCGCCAGUCGCCGGCGACCUUUGGGUGGUUGAAGGCCUGGGCAUAAGCCUUUCGGCGAAGAGCAGAGAGGGGGGGGGGAGUGUGAAGAUUUCAAACUUUUCCUUAGAAAAGUCAAAGCUUAAAUUUUUAAAGGAAAAAAUGAAUUGAAAUGGGUUUUAACUUUGUAUAAUAAAACAAAACAGCAUGCCAGUACAUGUUUUGACUGGGUCCACACGCAUUUUACCCUUAAAUGGGUAAUUUGCGUGGCCAGUCCUUCCUAUUUGCGCCAUCCUUGAUUUGACCCUAUUUGGUUUCUUUAAUUUGGCCCUAAAAUUUAUCGCGAUUUUCAAUUUAAUCCUAGCUGGUGCUAUGCGUUUUAGAAAGGGGGUUAUUACACUUUAGGCCCUUCGUUGUUUCAUGCGUGUUUAAAUAAGCCCUUUUCUUUUUUUUUAAUUUGCCCCAAAACUUUAGCCCUUUUUUUAAUUUAAGUUGAAUUUUAUAUUAUCUUUGCUAUUUUAAUUUAUAAUAUUAGUUCCAAUAAUAUUAUAUAUAUACUUUUAAAUACACUAUUUUAUUUUCUAUUAUUAUAAAUAUUAAUAUUUUCCUUCCGUUAUUAUUAUAUCGUAUCGUCCUUUUUUAUUAUCAUAUCAUUAUGUACACAUUAUUUAUAUUAUUUUUACUACUAUUAUUAUAUCUAUUAUUAGUAUUAGUAUUAUAAUUACUAUUAUUACACUUUUAUAUAUAUAUAUUUAUAUGUAAAGUUAUCAAUGGUUAUUUUUAUCAUCAUCUUAAUAUUAAUAUGUAUUUAUUUUUAACAUAUAUAUGUGUAUAUUUAUGAGGUAUUAUUAAUAAUUGUUUUGUAACAUUAUUAUUAUUUCUAAUGUGUAUGUAUUAUAUAUAUAUUUAAAACUAUAUUAUGUAUAUAUUAUAUAUAUUUAUUAUAUUUUUAUGUAUAUAUUUUUAAUAUCAUAUUAUUCAUAUAUUUUUUAUAUUAUGUAAAUAUUUUCAAUACUACAUUAUGUAUAUAUUUUUGUCUAUAUUGUAUACAUACUUUUAAUACUCAAUACUAUUAUCAUAAAUAUGUUCUUGAUAUAUGUAUGUACGUAUAUGUGUUUUUUUUUCUUUAUUCACAUAUUAUUAUCAUCAUUUUUCACUUUUUAUUAUACUAUUUUUAUUUUUGUACAUACUUCUAAUAUCAUUAUUAUUACUAUUAUUAUUAUAUAUAUAUAUAUAUAUAUAUGUGUGUAUAUUUCAUGUAAUAUUUAUGUUUCAUUAUUAUUUCUAGUAUGUAUAUAUUAUGUAUAUAUUUUUAAUACUACGUAUACAUUUUUAUUUCUAUUAUUACGUAUAUAUUUUAAUACAUAUAUGUAUAUAUUUAUAUACCGUUAUCAUUAGUUAUUUCUUAUUAUCAUUGUUUUCAAUAAAUAUUGUAUAUAUAUUUUUAAUCUAGUAUUAUAUGUUGUACAUAUAUAUGUUCCCUCCUAUUUCAUAUUUACAUUAUUAUUACCAUGUUUAAUACCAUGUGUUAUUAUCGUUUCGUACUAUUAUUAUUUAUAUUAUUAUUAGUUUUCAUUAUCAUUGUCAUUUUUAUUUUACCGUGUUUUAUUUAUUUUUACGCGUUCGAUCAUUUCAUUUUCCUUAUGUAUUUGUUUAUAUUUGCAUAUUGCUAGCCUUGCUAUUAUUUCACCUUUUAUAAUUGUUCAUAUUAUUAUUUUUGACAUUGUCGCACCUAUUAUUAUGUUAUUACAUAUUAGCACCAUAAUUUGCUCUCAUGUUUUACCAUAAAUAACAUUAUGUUUUCCACUUGAUGCCUUAAAAUGAUUCUUUCAUAAAAGUGAUAUUCCGUAUUUGGUAAUUCGAGACAAUCGUGCCCUAACUUACUGGGUUUCGAUUUUUCUCAUUUAACCUAAAUAACGGGAUACUCUUUUAAAACGCAAUACGAGUUUUGAAAAAUACUUAUUAUCGGAGAUACGAGGUGUUGUGCCCUAACUUACCGGGUAUGGCAUUUUGUUACCUCGAAAUAGGAUUUUUCGCAAGUAAAGGCAAUAUUAGAUGUUUGGCAAUUCGGGGAAUCGUGCCCUAUUGUGCUGGGUUGCAAUUUCCUGUUUGUUCGAAAUAAUCGAAUAUUCCUUCGGUGUUCCACUCAUGUCUUUUAAAAAAUUUCAUUAAAACGAAAGAGAUGUUCGAUAUUUAGCAAUUCAUGGAAUCGUGCCCUAACGUGUUGGGUUGCAAUUUCUCAUUUGCUCAAAAUAAUCGAAUGUCUCUUUAGAAUUUCAUUCAUGUUUUCUAAAAAAAACACUUAUAAAGGAAAUGUUCGGUAUUUAGCAGUUCGGGGAAUAGUACCCUAUCGUGCUGGGUUGCAAAUCUCCCGUUUGUUCAAAAUAAUCGAAUAUCCCUUUGGAAUUUCACUCGUGUUUUCUAAGGCGAGGCAAUGUUCAAUGUUUGGUAAUUCGAGGAAACGUGCCCUAACUUACUGGGUUUCGACUUUCCUCAUUCAUCUUAACUAACCGAAUAUCCUUUUGAAAUACACGUAUUUUUAUAUAAAAGCCAAGCUCACUCUCGAAAAUUCAAGAUGUCGUGUCCUAACUUACUGGAUGUGACAUUUUAUAUUUUGAGAUGAGAAGGUCUUUAACAUUUGAGCAUUUUCUUUACAAAGAGGGAUCGUAUUUUAAAUUCUUUCAAGUUUUCAAAUUUUCGACACUAAGACACUAAUUAAUCAACUAGGUACCAAUUUUUGGGCGUUACGAGGGUGCUAAUCCUUUCUCGUGCGUAACUGACUCCCGAACCUGUUUUCUUGAUUUACGUGGACCAAAAUCGUUGUUUAAAUAAAUCAAACCAUUUAUUAAAAACAACCACUUUUACAAGGUGAUCCAAUCACACCUAAAUAAAAAAGAUUGGUGGUGACUCCAUUUUCGCUUUCCAAAAAGUCGAUCCAUCAUUUUUAAUUUUUUUAAAUCGAAAUAAAAAAUGGUUUCGACAGGUUGGCGACUCCGCUGGGGACAAUAAGAGAGUCAAGCCGUAAAAUUGAUUAUUUUUUGUCCUUUUGUCAAAAAUUUAAAAUUUGGUUUUUUAACAAAUGAUCCUUUUACUUCAUUUGUUUUGGUUCAAGUCCUAUAGAAUAGUUUUGCAUUGAAUUGCAUGACCGUUGUGGUCACACUUUUUAAGUGGGAGUGAGAAACUAUGCUUUCGUGAGGUUUUCACCUCCGCAUGGGCUAAGGGAUCGCUUCUGGAAUACAUCUGUACUUAUGUCUUCGUGAGGUUUUCACCUCCGCAUGGGCAUAAGGAAAUGUAUUCCUCUGAAUUGAACUUGGUCCAUAUGAGCCUAUAAUGGGUGAAGACCGAGGAAUCUGCUGGUUCGGGUACCCUUACUCUAGAAUCGAGCCACAUAUAGAGACACCUAGGAGCUUACCCUAGGUAGAACCACUCCGAGCCUCUAGUGAUCACCCGAAUAGGUAUUUUAUUUGUUGUUUAUUCCUAUACUAACGUGUUUUAUUUUUGUUUGUUCAUAACUGCAUUGCAUUACAUCAUCAUAGAAAGGAGGUGUUGAUAUUCAAUUGCUAAAUAGAACAAAUUGUCAUAAUAAAACAAAUUUCUUAAUAACGCAGAUUACAAUACGGUUGUCCGAAUUCGGUCCAAGUGAACACAACAGAAGAAGGCUAACAGUUCGUGGAAGAAAACAAAACUUUACCUAAGGGUUCAAGCUGAUAAAGAUUAUCCAAAAAACCGUCGCGUCCCAACUUUCUUAAAGGAGCUAAUCAACAUUGCGAGGAUAGUAAUUCGUGGCCUGGAUCAAGCAAAAAGGAGCUAGUAGAGGCAUGCAUUGGAAGCUUGCAAGAUUUGACUUUCACAAAGAAAGAGGAUCAGUGGCUUCAUCUCGAAUACGAAAGCAAGGCCAUAUACGUAAUCCAUUUUAUGAAAAAGAAUUUGUUUUAUAGAAAAGUUGUUCUAGGGGAAUUGAAUUCAAAAUCAACAUAUUUCUUUUCUUUGCAUUCAUCCCAUGCAUUUGCAUUGCAUUGCAUCAUUUACAUUGCAUUGCAUCAUGUGCAUUGCAUUGCAUCAUUUGCAUCAGAUUUUCCUAAAACGUCCUUAAUUAGGUAAAAUUAUUUUCGAAUCGACAAAAGAUAUGGACCAAAGGUUAGAGAGAAUGGAGCAAAGGAAAAUGUAGAUGUAAGAGCAGUUGAUCGAAAUUCAACAGGAUUUGCGAGAAAUGCUAGAACUCCAAAGAAAUAUGAUGGGCAAGUUAACCCAUUUACUGGCCGGAGAAUUUGAAAAAAGGAGUGGCCCAGUGGUUAAUAGUGAGGAUUAUGUUGAAGAGAUCAUCUAUUCCUCAGGGUUUGCCCCAAUAACGUCCCGACCCAACCAGACAUGCAAGGGGUACCCGUUGUUAUAGGACACCAAUGCCAGACGGAUACAUCAGCACUAUUGAGCUUCUCGAUGGGUUCAGGUUUUAACCCGAAAGAUGAUCAAGCCGAGCCAGUUGUUCUGGCAGAAAUGAAAGCAAGGGGAAAGUGAACUUUAAAGACCCCGAAAAAGAAGAAAAAGAAGGCAAAUAGUACGAGUAGGUAUAACAAGGGUCAUUCGAAGCCGGUUAUAACAGGCCGGCCAAGGUCAGUAACUACCAACCAUCAGAACUCCUUAAGGCAAGAACCCAAUCGAAGACUGAGCUCAGAAAAACCCCAAUACAAUCCCAUUCCAAUCACGUACGGAGAGUUGUACCGCAUUUUGUUCGAAGCACAUGUCGUAUCCCCUUUUUACAUGAAACCUAUACUGCCCCCAUAUCCUAAAUGGUACGAUGCAAGCAGCCAAUAUGAAUACCACGCGGGAAUCACGGGACAUUCCAUCGAGAACUAUACCACUUUUAAAAAGAUUGUCGAAAGACUCACCAAUUUGGGUAUCGUAAAAUUCGAUGAUCCCUUUAGAGCGGAAAAUCGAUUAUCUAACCUUUCUGUUAAAGAGGCGAAUGUUAUGAGUUCCAUACUGGAUUGGGGCAUGAGAUUUAAGGGUGCAUCGAGCUCGGAACUCUAAUGCAAGGCCUGGUAUUGGGAAACCCAAACAUCAACGACGUAUCAGAAGAGGGAACCCGGGAGUAGACUUUUUCAAGCUUCUGCCCUUACGUACUUAGGGUGUUUUAAAUAAGGGGACUGUGAAAAGGAUCCUUUAUUUUUAGAGAUAAUCUAGAGUAAUAGUCAAAACAAGCUUAUUGUUUUAAACCGAAGCAACAAGAAUCCUUUUGUGAAAUAGGCUUAUAUCCAAAAUCUUUAUUUCAAUGAAAUACAUGUUUGAGUAAAUAUUCUUUUAUUCUUUCCAUUUUAUACUGUACAAACGACUAUUCUUAGAUUCCUUCAUUCAUGAUCAUACCAUACAAAUAAUAAUUCUUAGAAUCAUUUAGUCUUUGGAAAAUGCCUUCGUACCUAUAACAGGUCUCCAGACAUCAAUGACGUGAGCGAUGUUGCCACUAAUUCUGAGUCUCUUUUUUGAGCAAGAUAUGUGUCUAGAGGGAUCUUAGGACUUUGAAGAUGAUAGAGAUUGUGACUUAUUUCCUGAUUUGUUAAGGACGGUAGAACAAGAUGAAAAACAGAUCCAACUAUGCAAAGGGUCAGUGGCAUUGCGAGCCUUGGAAAGAAGUGAAGAUCGAAGCCUAGCUCACCACAAAGAUAAAGCAAGACAUCAUUGAGUUAUUCCCAAUUCAAAGAUAUUUUCACAUGAUUGAAUCAAGAUAUGCCUAAGCUACUAAGACGUGAGAAUGUUACGGGGUUUUUUUGAAUGACGUAUGUUAAUGACAUAUACAAUGGCCGAGCUAAUCAAGAGAUUUGGUUUCUGCCGGUCCACCAUAGAAAGGGAUUGCAUCAGUAUGCGGUAAAUGCCAAAUUUAUGGAGACAAGAUUCAUGUGCCCUUUCAUUUCUUCGUAGACUCUAUGUGGGGCAUGGAGGUUAUGGGCCGAUCUCUUUGAAAGCUUCUAACCAAUAUCGACUCGCCUUUGGGGUCGUCAAUUACUCCGCGGAAAGGGUGAAAGUUGUUUCAUAUGCCAAUGUCACUAGGUCGACAAUCAUCAAAUUCCAAAAAAAGGGUUCCAACAAAGAAUGCUAGAAAAAAAUAACAACUGUACAAUGUCAAAAGUUUGCAGUCUGUUCAAAGAUUAGGCGCUAUAUUGCAAAAAAAAAAUUAAUUAAGAUAAUGGGGAAGAUGACCGAGACUAAUAAAGAUCUGGCAUAAGGAGUCACCAUUUACCCUCUAUGUUCAUCGAAUGUUGGCCAAGACCUUCACCAGGGCAACAUAUUUCAUUAGUCUAUGGGAUAGAAAUGAUUUUAAAGAAGAGAUUUCUUGUUUCUUAGUCUUGUCAGAGCUGAAGUUGGAUAAGGCAAAAUGGAUCCAAUCCUGAUGUGAUUAGUUGAAUGUGAAAAAAAGGAGGUUGAAAGCCAUCCGUCAUGAUCCAAUGAAUGAUGUGAGCUUACGAUGAAGAGGUUCAUCCUAAAGAAUUCCACGUGAGAAGCUUGAUAUUGGAAAAGAUCCCUCCUAUACAAAAGAACUUCUGAGAAAAGUGGAUGUCAAACUGAGAAGGACUUUAUGUAGUAAAGAAGACCUGUUUGGGAGGGGCAUUAAUAUUGACAGAAAUGGAUGGUAAAGAUUUGCCAAAGUCGGUGAAUUCAGAUUUCGUCAAGAAGUAUUUCACCUAGAAAAUGAGAGGCCAAGGCGAAGACCCGCAAAGAGCGCUUUGAGACCCUUAAAAAAAAAGAGGAGAGGCCAAAGAGAAAACCCGCAAAGGGCGCUUUGAGACCAAAGGGGAUUUGAGUUGAAAACCCAAAAAAGGUGGCUCAAAUUUGGAUCAAAAUGGGCAUGCAGCAGCUUUGCUAUGCCUAAAUUAAUAAAGAAGAAGUAUGUUGCAUGGACAAAGUGCUUCGGAUCCCCUAAACACGUAUUGAGCUCGGAAAGGUCCUUAAGAAGUUGGUACAGAGAAGCUCAAGCUACGAUAUCUGGGGCACCUAGUUUUCAUUUUGCUCAUUUUUGAAUUUGUGAUCUUUGAGUACCUUAUUCUUUUCAAGAUACGUCCCAAUAAACUUCAUUUUUAUUGCAUUGCUAUCUUUGAUUAACUUAUUGCCUCCUUAUUGCAUUUGUAAUCUUUGAUUAAUUUAUUAAUUUUGAGCUAUGCUCCCAAUCAAUUUCCUUCUUGUCCAUUGUUUUGAUAUUUUUCAAGCAUUUUGUAUUGAAAUAAUGAUUAAUGGACCAAUAAUACUUUCAUAAAAGAAGUUUUGCAUAUUACUUUGGAAGUUUCUAAAUAAUACAAGGACUUGAAACAGGACUAUUGUUCAGAACUCACCAAGCCUAAGGGUUGAAAAUAUUUAAGCCUAAAUUGAAAUUAUCUCAUUGGGUUUUCUGUUAAAGAUAUUAGUUGAGCAGAAAAAUCACAUUGGUGUUACAAUCCUGGUAAAAAAACAAGCAAUAGAGGGUCAUUCUCGAGAAAAGAAAAUGGUACUCUACAUUCAUAUACAUCUGGUCAUUACACCCAAGGAAUAGUGUAACAGAUCAAACUGAUUGAAGAUGAUACAAAUCCUAUGCCUUUGAGUUGCAGCGGAAUGGAUGGAAGAAACCAAAUGUUAUUCCUCUGAAAUUGCAAUAGGAGGCACAAACUUUAUGUCCCAAAAGGUACAGUGGAAGGGACUCUGAAAUUACAGUGGGGCAAGCUUGCUGAACAAAAUGUGAUUGUUUCUUUGACUUUUCUGUCAAGAAUACCAGCCGAACAAGAUGCCAACGUAAUACGUCAGCGAUAAUGUCCUAAUGAACAACGAACGAUGAUACCUUAAGCCUUUCUUUUAAAAAAAAAGGCUCAGGACAUUUCUACAUUCAUAUAAUAACACAUCUAGUUAGGAGCAUUUGACUCAUUUCAUAACAUCCUAAUUAUUUGACAUAAAGCAUCACAUUUAGUUAGGAGCAUUUGAUUCAUUUCAAUCAUAGCAUCCUAAUUAUUUGGCAUAAGCAUGGAUACAUGAAACUGAUUUUACAGAUCAUGUUCCUCAGAGGACAGUGCAGUAGAGUCGGUGAAUUCACAAGUCUUAACCCCCUAAGCAGUGGGGCAACAAGCUGAAGAUAUCCAAGAUGAUUUGGCAUCUCUGUAUCAGGCGGGGAGAAGAUCGAAGACAUAGCUGAUUUGGCUUUCACGUGUUUACGUUGAAGCAGAUCCAAGAUGAUUUGGCAUCUCAGUAUCAGGCGGGGAGCAGAUCGAAGACAUAGCUGAUUUGGCUUUCACGUGUUUAUGUUGAAGCAGAUCCAAGAUGAUUUGGCAUUCUGUAUCAGGCGGGGAGUAGAUCAAAGACAUAGCUGAUUUGGCUUUCAUGUGUUUACGUUAAAGCAAAUACAAGAUGAUUUGGCAUCUCUGUAGCGGCGGAGAGCAGAUCGAAGAUAACAGAUUUGACGUUUCUGUAGCGGCGGAGAGCAGAUCGAAGAUAACAGAUUUAGCGUAUCUGUAGCGGCGGAGAGCAGAUCGAAGAUAAUAGAUAUCUCUGUAGCGGAAGAGAGCAGAUCGAAGAUAACAGAUUUGGCGUCUCUGUAGCGGUGGAGAGCAGAUCGAAGAUAAUGGAUUUGGUGUCUCUGUAUUGUCAGAGGGCAGAUCGAAGAUAAUGGAUUUGGCGUAUCUGUAUUGUCAGAGGGCAGAUCAAAGAUAACAGAUUUGGUGUCUCUGUAGCGGCGGAGAGCAGAUCGAAGAUAACAGAUUUGGCGUCUUUGUAGCGGUAGAGAGCAAAUCGAAGAUAACAGAUUUGGCGUCUCUGUAGCGGCGAAGAGCAGAUCGAAGAUGAUUUGGCAUCUCUGUAGCGGCGGAGAACAGAUCGAAGAUAACAAAUUUGGCAUUUCUGUAGCGACGGAGAGCAGAUCAAAGAAAACAGAUUUGGCGUCUUUGUAGCGGCGGAGAACAGAUCAAAGAUAACAGAUUUGGAGUCUCUGUAGCGGCGGAGAGCAGAUCGAAGAUAACGGAUUUGGCGUCUCUAUAUUGUUAGAGGGCAGAUCAAAGAUAACAGAUUUGGUGUCUCUGUAGCGGCGGAGAGCAGAUCGAAGAUAAUAGAUUUGGCGUCUCUGUAGCGGUAGAGAGCAGAUCGAAUAUAACAGAUUUGGCGUCUCUGUAGCGGCAGAGAGCAGAUCGAAGAUAACAGAUUUGGAGUCUCUGUAGCGGCGGAGAGCAGAUCAAAGAUAACGGAUUUGGCAUCUCUGUAUUGUCAGAGGGUCGAUCAAAGAUAACAGAUUUGGCGUCUCUGUAGCGGCGGAGAGCAGAUCGAAGAUAACAGAUUUGGCGUCUCUGUAGCGGUGGAGAGCAGAUCGAAGAUAACAGAUUUGGCGUCACUGUAGCGGCGGAGAGAAGAUUGAAGAUAACAGAUUUAGCGUCUCUGUAGCGGCGGAGAGCAGAUCAAAGAUGAUUUGGCAUCUCUGUAGCGGCGGAGAGCAGAUCGAAGAUAACAGAUUUGGCGUCUCUAUAGCGGCAGAGAGCAGAUCGAGGCGUCUCCGUAGCGGCGAAGAGCAGAUCAAAGAUAACAGAUUUGGCAUCGCUGCAGCGGCGGAGAGCAGAUCAAAGAUAACAGAUUUGGCGUCUCUGUAGCGGCAGAGAGCAGAUUGAAGAUGAUUUGGCGUCUCUGUAGCGGCGGAGAGCAGAUCAAAGAUAAUAGAUUUGGCGUCUCUGUAGCGGCGGAGAGCAAAUCGAAGAUAACAGAUUUGGCGUCUCUGUAUUGGCAGAGAGCAAAUUGAAAAUAACAGAUCGGUGUUCCUGAGUUUUCAAGAAGCAAGUUGAAGAUAACAAAUUUGACACUCCUGAAGACAUUGGAAUACCUUUAGGAAAGAUGAGGAGCAAGAUUUUGAGAUUUAGCUAGACCGGACAAAUUUGGUCCUUUUUAUAGUCUUUGCUCUGUUCUCGUUACACGACAACAAGCAAAAAGGGGCAGCUGUACAGCCCAAAUUUUGCCCGGCUUAAAAGCCCAACAUCUAAAAACCCAACAGCCCAAAACCCUUUAACACUAGCCCAUAGCAAUUAAAAAAAAGAAAGAAAAAAGAAGAAGACUAAAAAAAAACCUAGCCAUCAUCCCUAUGCUUGACUGUCGGCCAACUUGCCUUGUCCCAUUGCCCAUACCUCCACUUACUCCAUCCCCGAAUGUCCCGCUCCAUGUUUUGGCCCAUGUUUCACGCCCCUCGUUCUCCACAACUUCAACACCUGCAAUUGGAGCAAAGAGAUAGGUAGAAAAUGUAUGGUUUUUGGCUAUAAAGCCUUCAAUUUUUCAUUGUAAAAGGGGGAGAAGAGAUUGUACUAAAGAGGUUUUUUUUAGAAAAAGAACAGUGAUACUACAUGCAAAAGAGAGCUUUCUUUUUCGAAUAUAAUAGAGAAUAUACAAAGUCAAGAGUAAAUCGAGAAUCGGGACUGAGGUACUAAAGUUUAUAUACAAAUCUCACGCAAGAAUCAGUAAAAAAACCCACUAAGGAAUAGUUUCAAAGGUGAUUUUAUUUUGUUUUUCUUUAUUUUUUUUUCAAAUUGGAUCCACAAUAUAAGUUAAAAAAUAGGAGAGAAGAAAGGAGACUUACCGCGCCUCAUGUUUGCGCCGUCGAGAGGGCCUUGCUUCGCCGGUCGCCGGCGACCUUUGGGUGGUUGAAGGCCUGGGCAUAAGCCUUUUGGCGAAGAGCAGAGAGGGGGGGAAGUGUGAAGAUUUCAAACUUUUCCUUAGAAAAGUCAAAGCUUAAAUUUUU